GGAGCGUUCUGUAAGCCUGCGAAGGUGUGCUGUGAGGCAUGCUGGAGGUAUCAGAAGUGCGAAUGCUGACAUAAGUAACGAUAAAGCGGGUGAAAAGCCCGCUCGCCGGAAGACCAAGGGUUCCUGUCCAACGUUAAUCGGGGCAGGGUGAGUCGACCCCUAAGGCGAGGCCGAAAGGCGUAGUCGAUGGGAAACAGGUUAAUAUUCCUGUACUUGGUGUUACUGCGAAGGGGGGACGGAGAAGGCUAUGUUGGCCGGGCGACGGUUGUCCCGGUUUAAGCGUGUAGGCUGGUUUUCCAGGCAAAUCCGGAAAAUCAAGGCUGAGGCGUGAUGACGAGGCACUACGGUGCUGAAGCAACAAAUGCCCUGCUUCCAGGAAAAGCCUCUAAGCAUCAGGUAACAUCAAAUCGUACCCCAAACCGACACAGGUGGUCAGGUAGAGAAUACCAAGGCGCUUGAGAGAACUCGGGUGAAGGAACUAGGCAAAAUGGUGCCGUAACUUCGGGAGAAGGCACGCUGAUAUGUAGGUGAAGUCCCUUGCGGAUGGAGCUGA
rnacentral:rRNA from 1 species